GCGAACGCUGGCGGCAGGCCUAACACAUGCAAGUCGAACGAACUCUUCGGAGUUAGUGGCAGACGGGAUAGUAACACGUGGGAACGUGCCCUUUGGUUCGGAAUAACUCGGCGAAAGCCGUGCUAAUACCGGAUAAGCCCUUACGGGGAAAGAUUUAUCGCCAUUGGAGCGGCCCGCGUCUGAUUAGCUAGUUGGUGAGGUAAUGGCUCACCAAGGCGACGAUCAGUAGCUGGUCUGAGAGGAUGAUCAGCAUCACUGGGACUGAGACACGGCCCAGACUCCUACGGGAGGCAGCAGUGGGGAAUAUUGGACAAUGGGCGCAAGCCUGAUCCAGCCAUGCCGCGUGGAUGAUGAAGGCCUUAGGGUUGUAAAGUCCUUUUAACGGGGAAGAUAAUGACGGUACCCGUAGAAUAAGCCCCGGCUAACUUCGU
rnacentral:rRNA from 1 species